GAGUUGAUUCUGAUUUAUUAAUGGAUUUGUUGUAGGUUGUGUGACCAGAGUGGCAGAAAGAUGGCAGUAGGCAGAGGUCUUCCAAAAUGGCAAGAAUUUAUUCACCAAGGUGCAUGUUUCAACCA